UGCAAGGUCUCUCAUUAAAGGUCAGCGA
rnacentral:piRNA from 1 species